CCACUGCCCCAGGCCUGAGGCUCCGCAGACCCCGCCCAGCCAUCCUGGAGCAUGCGGCCCAGGGCUGCACGCUGCUGCUCACUUUGAAACCCAAGACGUCUGAUGAUAAUAUCACCAGGGACCGAGCGGGGUCUGCUGUUGAUUGCGUUUGCCGUCCUGGCUGAGCCCAGCGUGGGGGGGAGGCGCAUAAAAAGCUUAUUCAUGCGGGUCAGGGUGAUCCAGCACCCCCGCCCCGGGCAGCAUAUGUCCUCCCCCGGAGGCUGCCUGCUGGGUGUCCGGUGGGCGGGCGCAGAGGCUGCUUGGGGCUCACAGAUGGACAUUCAUUCUCCUUGAGGGGGCGUCUCUUUCUGGAGAGGGGCCGGUCCGGGCCAGCGCCCACCCUUUAGGCCCUGUUGAAGGGUGUGUGACCCCCACCCCAGUAGGAAAUGCCUCUCCGCGCUCCGCAUUCCACGGGGGAAACCAGCCCACGAGUGACACGCGACCCACUCGGAAGCCAGCGGCCCAUCCGGAAGGCCCUGAUCUCUCUCCAAAGUCAGACCCGGGCAGCACCGGGCGAGGACAGAUUCCUGUCCAUUCCCCGGCACCGGGGCCUCCACGAGCUUGGUCACCACUGAACACCAGAGCCCCUUUCUCGAGACAAAUGGCCUUCCUCCAAGAGUGACUGGCCAUGCUGGACAGCCACGAGCCAGCCAAGGCCCAGACACUGACCCCGAGCCUCCCUGCCGGGGUGCGCGGUGCCCACGUCUGGGCAGAAACGGCUGCUCGGCCCCAGGAAGGACAGGCGUGACAGGCCUUGAAAACGAACGUCACUCAAGGGGAGCCAGGCACGUGAGGACACACGUGUGUGACCCGCUGACGGGAGGGGUCCGGAGCCAGCAGAUCGCUGACGGGAGGGGUCCGGAGCCAGCAGAUCGCGGCAGACGGUGGCCGCGGGGGCUGGCGGGGGGAGGAGGCGUGUCUGCUGAUGGCCACGGGCCUUCCUUCCGGGGUGAUGACGAGAUUUUGAAACUAGACAGAGGUGACAGUUUCACCACAUUGUGAAAGGACCACGUGUCGCUAAAUUGCACACUUUAAAAUGGUUUAAAUAGUUAAUCGUAUAUUUGGAUUUUUACCUAAAAAAGGAAAAAGCUGCUUGCAGAGUUCCCUGAGGCCAGAGCCCCCAAGCCCUGCACACCCCCUUUGUUCACUAGACACUGGGUACGGCUUAGAACAGCUCCAGCCCCUGUACCACUGACCCUCCUAAAGCGGGAGGCUGGGGACAGAGGGGCCAGGACAGUGACCAAGGUAUGGCACUGUGACUGAUGUCUCCUUGUAAAGCUUAUUGGGUUUAAGAUGAUCCGUUUUAUUUCUAAAAGUUAAUGCUGUGUCGUUUUCGUCAAUAACUCUGUGUGGGAAUAA